UAAACACUAGUGUGGGUGUUGUAUGAUUAUGAUUAUGAUUGAGAAUAACUCGAGUUGGGGAUGCACGACAGAGGGACAGUCCAAUGGUUAGCUACCAGGACUUGUCGGGUUGGCUAUACAAUCGACAGAUGAUAUCAUCAGCCAUAGGGCAGGCAUUCAUCAUUUGCAUAUGUUUGAAUUGUUUGGCUUGUUUUGGACUGCUAUAUCAGAUAUGCUAUGUUACCUGAUUAUGUGCUACUUGUUCUACUUGUGCUUUAAUUGUGUAUUAGUUGCCAGUAUUGCUUGUGUUUGUACAACUGAGAGGUCCCUCAUGCUGGUGUCGGUGGACGCUGUGGG
rnacentral:lncRNA from 1 species